UGGGGGAUAUUGCACAAUGGGCGAAAGCCUGAUGCAGCGACGCCGCGUGGGGGAUGAAGGCUUUCGGGUUGUAAACCUCUUUCGCUAUCGAACAAGGCCCGCUUAGGGUGGGUUGAGGGUAGGUGGAGAAGAAGCGCCGGCUAACUACGUGCCAGCAGCCGCGGUAAUACGUAGGGCGCGAGCGUUGUCCGGGAUUAUUGGGCGUAAAGGGCUUGUAGGCGGCUUGUUGCGCCUGCUGUGAAAACGCGGGGCUUAACUUCGCGCGUGCAGUGGGUACGGGCAGGCUUGAGUGUGGUAGGGGUGACUGGAAUUCCAGGUGUAGCGGUGGAAUGCGCAGAUAUCUGGAGGAACACCGAUGGCGAAGGCAGGUCACUGGGCCAUUACUGACGCUGAGGAGCGAAAGCAUGGGUAGCGAACAGG
rnacentral:rRNA from 1 species